rnacentral:tRNA from 1 species
UGGGAUGUAGCCAAGUGGUAAGGCAACAGACUUUGACUCUGUCAUGCGCUGGUUCGAGUCCAGCCAUCCCAGCCA